GCAGCGGUUUCCAUCCCCUUGGCCUUUUCCUCCACCUUAAACGUUAUCCCCUCUCACUAUAUAAAUACCACCCUACCUCUCUCUCCAGCACCCACACUUCCUUCCUUCGCCUUGUGUUUCUCUCUGCAGGAGCCAUGGGAGAAGCCGCGGAGGAUGUCUAUGUUGCCAAUGGCUACCACAGCCAUCAAGCCAAGGAGGGUGUAGAUGAAUGCAAAUGGUAUGAGGAGGAGAUCGACGAUGAUCUCAAGUUAUCUUAUGCUUUGAAUAGCGUGCUGCAUAGAGGGACCAGCAAGUUCCAAGACAUAGCUCUUCUUGACACCAAGCAUUUUGGAAAGGCGUUGGUGAUCGAUGGGAAGAUGCAGAGCACCGAGAUGGAUGAGUUCAUCUACCAUGAAUGCUUGAUACAUGCAGCCCUUCUCUGCCACCCCAAUCCUAAGACAGUAUUUAUAAUGGGAGGUGGAGAGGGGUCCGCUGCAAGAGAAGUGCUCAAGCACAGCACCAUCCAUAGGGUGGUUAUGUGUGACAUCGACCAGGAGGUUGUAGACUUCUGCCGGAAGUAUUUGACUGCCAAUCAGGAAGCCUUUGCUAGCGACAAGCUCUGCCUCGUCAUCAAUGAUGCGAAGGUGGAGCUGGACAAGAGAGAGGAGAAAUAUGAUGUAAUAGUGGGAGAUUUGGCUGACCCUGUUGAAGGAGGACCAUGCUAUCAGCUCUACACUAAAUCAUUCUAUGAACAAGUGCUCAAGCCCAAGCUGCAUCAUGAUGGCAUCUUUGUCACCCAAGCUGGACCAGCCGGUGUUCUUACACAUAAGGAGGUCUUUUCAUCUAUAUACAACACCCUUAAGCAUGUUUUUAGAUAUGUGCUUGCGUACACAGCUCAUGUGCCUUCCUUUGUGGAUACAUGGGGAUGGGUUAUGGCAUCUGAUCAACCAUUCACUCUUAAUGCUCAACAAAUUGAUGAGAGGAUCAACGAGAGAAUUACUGGAGAGCUACUGUACUUAAAUGGCAAGUUCCUCAUAUCUGCAACCACAAUGAACAAGAGUGUUUACCAAUCGAAGGCUCAUCAGCUGGUGCUAGAAAAAUAUCACCACAUUCCUAAUAAGGACAUAUAGUUUUGGAUGCUGAAGAGGUUAAGAUAUAUGAACUUUUAACUGUGGCACUUUGUUGUAAGAAUUAGUAGGUCAAUGUUCGUGAGACUGUUGAAUGAAACGCAUGUGUACACGGAGGAAAAUGCAAGAUUUAUCCAUGGACAUGGAAGGGCAUGUUGUGCUUAAGGCUCCUCAUUCAAGGGACAAAUAUAUAUGGUCAUAUGGAGCUCUAAAUCAACAAUACUUUGGGCAAAGAGGGCAAGAAUCUUAUGAAGAAGUGUGGGUGUUAGCAUUCUUUGCAUCUUUUAUAUCCAAAACAAAUAAUUGUGUUGACCAUGACUCAUCUGAUGAAAUAAAAUGUAAAUUCUAAUAAAUUGUAUGACAAUUAGUUAUCUAGCAUUUCAUAUUCUUUC